rnacentral:rRNA from 1 species
GUGGGGAAUAUUGGGCAAUGGGCGAAAGCCUGACCCAGCAACGCCGCGUGAAGGAAGAAGGUCUUCGGAUCGUAAACUUCUAUCCUUGGUGAAGAUAAUGACGGUAGCCGAGAAGGAAGCCCCGGCUAACUACGUGCCAGCAGCCGCGGUAAUACGUAGGGGGCAAGCGUUGUCCGGAAUGAUUGGGCGUAAAGGGCGCGUAGGCGGCCUGGUAAGUCUGGAGUGAAAGUCCUGCUUUUAAGGUGGGAAUUGCUUUGGAUACUGUCGGGCUUGAGUGCAGGAGAGGUAAGUGGAAUUCCCGGUGUAGCGGUGAAAUGCGUAGAGAUCGGGAGGAACACCAGUGGCGAAGGCGACUUACUGGACUGUAACUGACGCUGAGGCGCGAAAGUGUGGGGAGCAAACGGGAUUAGAUACCCUUGUAGUCC